AGUGAACGCUGGCGGUAGGCCUAACACAUGCAAGUCGAACGGUAACAGGUCUUCGGAUGCUGACGAGUGGCGAACGGGUGAGUAAUACAUCGGAACGUGCCUAGUAGUGGGGGAUAACUACUCGAAAGAGUGGCUAAUACCGCAUGAGAUCUACGGAUGAAAGCAGGGGAUCGCAAGACCUUGUGCUACUAGAGCGGCCGAUGGCAGAUUAGGUAGUUGGUGGGAUAAAAGCUUACCAAGCCGACGAUCUGUAGCUGGUCUGAGAGGACGAUCAGCCACACUGGGACUGAGAAACGGCCCAGACUCCUAGGGGAGGCAGCAGUAGGGAAUUUUGGACAAUGGGCGCAAGCCUGAUCCAGCAAUGCCGCGUGCAGGAUGAAGGCCUUCGGGUUGUAAACUGCUUUUGUACGGAACGAAAAGCCCCGGGUUAAUACCCUGGGGUCAUGGCGGUACCGUAAGAAUAAGCACCGGCUAACUACGUGCCAGCCGCCGCCGUAA
rnacentral:rRNA from 1 species